AUUGAACGCUGGCGGCAUGCCUUACACAUGCAAGUCGAACGGUAACGCGGGGCAACCUGGCGACGAGUGGCGAACGGGUGAGUAAUGUAUCGGAACGUGCCCAGUUGUGGGGGAUAACUGCUCGAAAGAGCAGCUAAUACCGCAUACGACCUGAGGGUGAAAGCGGGGGAUCGCAAGACCUCGCGCAAUUGGUGCGGCCGAUAUCAGAUUAGGUAGUUGGUGGGGUAAAGGCUCACCAAGCCGACGAUCUGUAGCUGGUCUGAGAGGACGACCAGCCACACUGGGACUGAGACACGGCCCAGACUCCUACGGGAGGCAGCAGUGGGGAAUUUUGGACAAUGGACGCAAGUCUGAUCCAGCCAUGCCGCGUGCGGGAAGAAGGCCUUCGGGUUGUAAACCGCUUUUGUCAGGGAAGAAAAGGCUCCUUCUAAUAUAGGGGGCUCAUGACGGUACCUGAAGAAUAAGCACCGGCUAACUACGUGCCAGCCGCCGCCGUAA
rnacentral:rRNA from 1 species